GACGAACGCUGGCGGCGUGCCUAAUACAUGCAAGUAGGACGCUGAAGGAGGAGCUUGCUUCUCUGGAUGAGUUGCGAACGGGUGAGUAACGCGUAGGUAACCUGCCUGGUAGCGGGGGAUAACUAUUGGAAACGAUAGCUAAUACCGCAUAAUAGUAGAUGUUGCAUGACAUUUGCUUAAAAGGUGCAAUUGCAUCACUACCAGAUGGACCUGCGUUGUAUUAGCUAGUUGGUGGGGUAACGGCUCACCAAGGCGACGAUACAUAGCCGACCUGAGAGGGUGAUCGGCCACACUGGGACUGAGACACGGCCCAGACUCCUACGGGAGGUAGCAGUAGGGAAUCUUCGGCAAUGGACGGAAGUCUGACCGAGCAACGCCGCGUGAGUGAAGAAGGUUUUCGGAUCGUAAAGCUCUGUUGUAAGAGAAGAACGAGUGUGAGAGUGGAAAGUUCACACUGUGACGGUAUCUUACCAGAAAGGGACGGCUAACUACGUG
rnacentral:rRNA from 1 species